rnacentral:rRNA from 1 species
AACGAACGCUGGCGGCAGGCUUAACACAUGCAAGUCGAACGCAUCCUUCGGGGUGAGUGGCAGACGGGUGAGUAACGCGUGGGAACGUGCCCUUCAGUUCGGGAUAACCCAGGGAAACUUGGGCUAAUACCGGAUACGUGCGAGAGCAGAAAGAUUUAUCGCUGAAGGAUCGGCCCGCGUCUGAUUAGCUAGUUGGUGGGGUAAUGGCCCACCAAGGAGACGAUCAGUAGCUGGUCUGAGAGGAUGAUCAGCCACAUUGGGACUGAGACACGGCCCCAACUCCUACGGGAGGCGGCAGUGGGGAAUAUUGGACAAUGGGCGCAAGCCUGAUCCAGCCAUGCCGCGUGAGUGAUGAAAGCCUUAGGGUUGUAAAGCUCUUUCGUCCGGGACGAUAAUGACGGUACCGGAAGAAGAAGCCCCGGCUAACUUCGUGCCAGCCGCCGCCGUAACAC